GGGUUUAACUUGAGAGGAGCCGCACUCGAAAUGCGGCAUACGGGCAACCGUAUCGGGAGUUCGAAUCUCCCCCUCUCCGCCA
rnacentral:tRNA from 1 species